rnacentral:rRNA from 1 species
UACGUAGGUGACAAGCGUUGUCCGGAUUUACUGGGCGUAAAGAGCGCGCCGGCGGUCGAUCAAGUCGAGUGUGAAAGCCCCCGGCUCAACUGGGGAGGGUCAUUCGAUACUGAUCGACUCGAAGGCAGGAGAGGGUAGUGGAAUUCCCGGUGUAGUGGUGAAAUGCGUAGAUAUCAGGAGGAACACCGGUGGCGAAGGCGGGUCUCUGGGCCGAGACUGACGCUGAGGAGCGAAAGCGUGGGGAGCGAACAGG